ensembl:snoRNA
ACAGCAUCUUAAACAGGUCGUGGUCUCUGAGCAGUAGACCAGGAUUUGGUAGCUGGUGCUAAGAUCAAUUCUCUUCUGCAACACUCCCGCUAGCAACUUUCGUGCUUUCUGGGAUUACUAUGGGAGAGAUACAAAC